UUGAUCCAAACAAAAUUCAGUAAUUGAGUAAACAUUAGUUUAUACUAUAUCUUUUGCAAUAUCUAAGCAUGGCUCAGAAGUAUUGUUUGAACUGCAAGUGCUCAUGGGCUGAUUUUUUCCCCCUGUUCCUACCUUGCACUGCCUGUGAACCCCCAAACCUAAUGCCGAAUGGGUUGUUUGAAAGCAAGUAUGACAGGUUCUUAUUUAACAUUUAAUUGUGAGACUGACUAAAUGGAGGAUAGUUCUUAAAAUUUCUGCUAUCUGGCAAAUUUCUGUUUGUCAGGUUACUGUAUGUAUGCAUUUAUUGUAGAACCUACUGUUCACUGUUAGGUUAAGACUUAAUUGCUAAACAAACACGUGCUUUCAGCCACCAUAAUACAGAGCUAUUGUUUUAACAGUUUGUGCUGCUUAAUGUAUAAAUCCAAGGUGAUUUUAUCUGCUGUCUUCUACAGGAACACAAUUGACUUGGUGCCAAUCACACCAAAUUUGCUUAAGAGAUAAGAGCUAUUAUGAGCUCGUUCAUCUUUGCCAUCUAUCAUGCAGUACCAGUGUCCUGUUUGGCUUGAAGUACAAAUAUCACAUUCAUGCAACUAAACAAUGAAGAUGCAGGUAGUUUAUAGCUGGUCAGAUGAACAUGGAAGGUGUGUGUAAUUCAUAAAACUUCAGUAAAUCCAAAUGUCAACAUAGGAUCUGAGACCUUCCCAGUUCUGUAGCCCUGUUCCAAUUCUGAACAUAGCCAAAAAAGAUUAAAUAAAGAAUCACAGAAUGGUUGAGUUUGGAAGGGACAGGGACCUCCGGAGAUCACCACUUCCAACCCCCCUGUUCAAGCAGGUGCAUGUAAAGCCAGUUGCCC